rnacentral:ncRNA from 1 species
CAAAGUUAUGGUCCAGGACUUACUGUUUAUUAUGAMUAAAAUUAUACAUGCAAGCAUCCGCAUCCCCGUGAAAAAGCCCAUAUAACCAUCCCCGGCUAAAUGGAGCAAACAUCAGGCACCCCCCCCCCGAGCCAAAGACGUUUAAUAACAUCACACCCACAAGGGCAUGCAGCAGUAAUUAAUAUUGGGCCAUGGGUAAUCUAUUUAGCCUGACCCAGUUAACGUCAAUAAGAGUGGGCCAAUCUAGUGCCAGCCCCCCCGGUUACACUGGACACUCAAAAUAACACACCCCGGCACAAACCGUGACUAAAAUUACUCCUACAGCAAUUAAGGAACUACCAACACCAACACGUAAAACAAGGGUCUUACGGAUUACCAACACCUUAAGAACUAGGGAAUUUUGACUCACGAAAAUUAGGGCCCAAACUAGGAUUAGAUACCCUACUAUGCCUAAACGUAAACACUCACCAGGCCAGAAAAAUACUUGCAAAAGCAAGAAACUCAACGGACCCGACGGUGUUCCACACUACCUAGAGGAGCCUGUCCUAUAAUCGAUAACCCGCGAUAAACCUCACCCCCCCUGGCCUUUCCAGCCUAUAUACCGCCGUUGUCAGUCUGCCUUUAAGAGUAGUGGACUAAACCGAUUCUAACUCAAAAACGACAGGUCAAGGUGUAGCUAAUGGGGAGGAAGAGAUGGGCUACAUUACCACCACACUGGUCAUAAACGGAACAUGAUCUGAAACAAAUCAUAACAAGGAGAAUUUAGCAGUAAAGGAAGUAAGAACGCUUCCUUGAACAUAGCCCUGGAACGCGCACACACCGCCCGUCACCCCCAUCGACACUAAUUAAAAAUACAUAAUACCACAACAAACACAAAGAAGGGGUAAGUCGUAACAUGGUAAGCGUACCGGAAGGUGCGCUUGGAAGA